GACGAACGCUGGCGGCGUGCUUAACACAUGCAAGUCGAACGGAAAGGCCCUGCUUUUGUGGGGUGCUCGAGUGGCGAACGGGUGAGUAACACGUGAGUAACCUGCCCUUGACUUUGGGAUAACUUCAGGAAACUGGGGCUAAUACCGGAUAGGAGCUCCUGCUGCAUGGUGGGGGUUGGAAAGUUUCGGCGGUUGGGGAUAGACUCGCGGCUUAUCAGCUUGUUGGUGGGGUAGUGGCUUACCAAGGCUUUGACGGGUAGCCGGCCUGAGAGGGUGACCGGCCACAUUGGGACUGAGAUACGGCCCAGACUCCUACGGGGGGCAGCAGUGGGGAAUAUUGCACAAUGGGCGGAAGCCUGAUGCAGCAACGCCGCGGGCGGGAUGACGGCCUUCGGGUUGUAAACCGCUUUCGCCUGUGACGAAGCGUGAGUGACGGUAAUGGGUAAAGAAGCACCGGCUAACUACGUG
rnacentral:rRNA from 1 species